CCCUGGAGGGAAUCGACUGCCAGUUUAAGGAGUCAUUGUCCAGUUCAGACUCCAGAACACGAAACAUAGAAACUGACAGGAAAAGACCAAGUAUAAAUUGCAACUUGUAGAGAAGAAUCAUCUUAAAUCCUGGCACUGCAUUCAAGGGGGAGUUUGAGCAAGGAAUGUUGCUAAAACAGGGCUAAAACCAGGAACUCAGAAUAUCGUUCUACAAUAGAACCUAAAAACUGUUUCCAACCCAUCACGACGUCACCCUGAAAAAUGAGUGAGCAGUCACUGAGGCUUCCCAAGUUUGAAAAUUCCACAAGACUGAGAGCAAGUGUUUUGUUGAAACUGAAGUCAAGAUGAAGUCAGCUGACUCUUGAACCUCAGGUGAAGUGACUCAGGGCCCACACCCCGGUUCUGAGGCAGGGACACAUUUUACUUGCGGCACCCUGCAGCUUUGGAUGAGGCUGCCACCAGGGUGAAUCCUGGCCCUGCUAUCACGUGGGCAGCCGCUGCAUCCUCCGGAGGCUGUGGAUGGGAGUCACCAGGCUGGGAGGUCUGGAGUAAGAUCUGUGCCAUCCACCUUGCCCAAUCCUGUACCAGUGCCUGUGUUUCAAAAUCUCAAAAUAAAAGUGAUUAUUCUUGCAACACAUCUAGGUGUACUAAGUGAAUAC
rnacentral:lncRNA from 1 species